UUUGUUUUUUUUUUUCUUCUGUUCCGUUUCUCCUGUCUAUAACAAAAUUUUUAAAAAAUAUAUAUUGUCAUAAUAUAUUGAGUAAAAAGAGUAUAUAUGUAUAUACCAUGUAUAUGACAGGAUGCGUGUGUCCCGGGAUGCCCACCUGAUUUGUACAUAUCGCGUUUGGCUAUGUUCCACAUAAUGUUGGAUGUAGUGUUCUUGGACCGUUACCUUUUUUUUUUUUUUUUGCAGUUUUGUGAAAUGUUUUAUAACGUCCCUGCCCGGGACCUGUUAGAAAGCACUUUAUUUUUAUAUAUUAAAUAUUUAUGUGUGUACCUGGUCAGUACGUAUAUAGUACACGCGCACAGACACCGUAUGCGGCGCGCCCUUGGAAGAGGACCGGUGACCUUGUUUGCAGCUCUUGCUGGCGGUGCCCUCACGGCCUACAGCCUUGGCCAUCGCUGCGUGCCCAGCUUUCAACUGGUGCCACUGCCUCGUUCCUUGGAACUAGGUCCUUGCCCGCUUCUCCUGCCCUCACCCACGUGGAAGGAUUGUUAACCGCCCCACCCCACCCCACGACAGGUGUUUUUGGCUGUUAAACACUGAUUCUGGGAAGCCCUCUCCCUCUUGGACAGCUGCCAAUUGUUUUCAGAGGGUGGGGAGAAUGUUAGCACAGUUCUUAUUAACUAGGAUUGAUACAUCUGAGCGCUUAGAGCGAGGUAGGUUAAACGUAUGAAACUGCUGUUUUCUAGGUCAGGAGGGGCUCCAGAUGGCAAUGGGUAAGGAGAUACCAGGCAUCUUGCAAGAGCCCUCUCAGACUUUUGUCAUCCUCAUUCCCUGUUCAAACUGUCACUUUUCCUCUUUUAACUCCAUUCUACAUUGAACAAAGAAAGUGCAAACCUGUAAGUGCAGCGAUCGUGCCUUGCUCUUCCCUCUGUGAUUUGUACAAGCCCGCGUUCUCAGCCGCCUCCUCUCUGGCUGUCUGGACUUGUACUCACCAUGUCCACACCCAGUAAGCCCUCCCCAGGCUCAGUGUUGGAGCCCGGGAGCCCAGGCUCUGGGGUGUAUUAGAUUCUUUCAUGUGAAGACCCAGACCCCAUCACAAAGAUUUCCUCUUCCUUGUCUCCCACACCGUGGUCUUCCCCAGUCUCCCACUUUGCGUCUGUGUGUGUGAUGGGAUGGACUGGGGUCCUGACAACAGACGUUUUUCCUUGGCCUGACCCUGUAUGCAGCUUGACUGGGUGCUGGUUGGUCAUUCCCAUUGGCCAGGCUCCCCACGUGGCCUCUCCAUGUAGUCACUUUCCCUCUUAAUAUGCGUAGGUUGACUAUUAGUUGCUCGUGUAACUUGAUAGUGAUUUCACUGAGCUACACGAGCAACUCCUUCCUUCUUGCAUUCCAUCGUUGUUGGCACCUCUUGAAAAAAGGAAACCACCACCAUCCAAAGGCAAGAGCAGUAGCUGAGAACAUGAACUCCAGGAUAGGUAGGUUUCUAUUGUUAUACCUAAAAUGUAAAUAUCUGGUUCUAAGAAUUAGUGGUAGAGUUUGUACUUGAGUCAUUUACGUAAAUGCAAACAGACGGUGAACUUGAAAGGCCACAGAGAUUUGGGUCAAGGUUGUGCGUAGUUUUAGUUGGCUGGGUUAAUUUCUUCCUUUUGAUGAGUGGCACUACCAGACUGGUAGCAAAGAGGAUGUCGCUUCGUGAAAGUUCUGUUUCUUUGUGAACUGAUCUGUUGGUCACAGCAUGGAGCUGUCGACUCACCAGAGGUGGCAAAGCUUCUCUCUAGCCCAUCUUCCAAUGUACGAGAGAAUGAUAUUGGCCAGUCUGGGAAAAUCCCAGAGGCAUCCUGCCUCUUACUGGGCAAAGAUGCAGCGCCAGAGAGCUGAACCCAAACCUGUUAUCCUUGUAUCAAAGCCGAACGGGGGCCUGCCUGCCAUCAGCUCUGAACGGUGACUGCUCUUGUUCCCUUAUGGAAUCACGUGCCCAGGUCAGAAGCUGUAGUUAGCUAGUACUUCUGUUAUGUAACCGAGUAGAAUGCAGGAGGAAAAAUAUUUAGGGUACCUCUAACCACUAUUUUUGUGCAAAUAGUCUAAAAGUGGAAAGCGGUAGAGGUUUUCUACGAUGUCUGGGUUUAGUGUGUACAUGAUGUAACAUACCUGUGUCCUUUUCAGCAAAAGCAAAACAACUGCCUCUCCAAAUACCUGGGAAGAGGAAACUGGGUUUUUUUUGCUGCAUCAUUUACCUGGAAAGGUUGCAUCACGUCUCUUAGUACCAGUGGAUUUGGCUGUUUUCCCUUUGCAGUCAGUGUCUCUCUAUGACUCUGAAGUCUUCCCCAUGGAUAACUGUUUCAGAAAUACAGGUAUUUCUCUAGAGAAGGGCCUGGUUUAUUUUCUUCUGUUUCUUUGAUAGAAUGUCUGGGGAGGAAAAAGAAAAAUGUUCCUUGCACAUGUUGGUUUUUGAAAUCCCCCCCUUAACCAGAAGCGUUUUGGGUCAUACUCACACGUUAGGUAGGACGUCUUCUGGGGGAGCUUAAUCUUGUGGGAACACACUGGUUUUCACAGAUGCACCACAUGGCUGUCUGAAGACUCAAAACUUUUUUUGUCCUUCCCUUCUCUUUGUUACGCUCGGAAACCCCCACAGUGUGUCGAGUCUUUACAAAGAAACCUUUAGAUGUGGUUCAUAGGUAUAUGAAUAAGUAUCUGUGUAAAACAGUGAGUGUGCAGUGUGUAAAUACUUUAAAUUAUUAUGGUAGAAAAAUAAAGUUACAUACCCUGCUGUGGAAUGUUUGUUCUGUGACUGUAGUGCCACCUGCUGGAAGAGUGGAGAAAUAGCAGGAGAAAGGGAGUGAGGGGGUACGUGUACAAAAUCCUACAUGGUUACUGACAGUGAGUCGUUCAACCUGUCCACAAACUCACUUAUUUUCAGAACUAUAUCACUACUAUAGUUUUUCCUUUUUUAAUUUCUAGGCAAUUGGAAAUAAGUCAGAAUCUGUGAGAUUAGUCCACUGGUAUCAUCCCAAAGGUCUUUUUUUAGUGUUGGUUUUUGUCCCCUGCAAGCAUGGAACCUGCAUUUGGUUCUUUGAAGGCAGCUUGGAUGGUAGCAACUUCGUUAGUCCUGGUGGGGAGGAUAUUGGGGCAGGAUUUUCUGGAUUGGUAAACUUUUUUAAAUUCUCACUUCUUGGGUGUUCUAGAAAGAGACAUCACAAGAUCACAAUUUGGUCUUUGUUCAAGAAACAUGCCAAAGGGUAGAAAAGCUUGAGAGAAUUAAACCCAAACUGAAGACACAGAAACGCACUGUUCACACCACUGGGUAGAAUACUAAAUGGAGCGAAUUCUGAUUGGGGAGACAUACAUAGUCAUUUCUUAAAAGAGAAAGUUAACCCUUACAUGCGGUGUUUAUGUGUGGCCUUUCAGAACAAAUAAAAAAGGAAAAUGAUGACAACUGAGCCACCCACACAAAGUAAGAUGCCAGUGUUCCAGCCGCUGAGUGCUUAUGUCUGUACUGACGAACACUAAGAAAUAAUCUAUGUCACCGUGAAGUCUGUGCUUAAGAGGAAAAACAUUCUUCACUGUAUUCACAUCCAGACCUCCAGCUUUUCAGGGAUGGAAAUUUGAGCAGCUGUCCAAAGCCUUAAAGAAGCUUGCUCUUGAAGAGCAAGUGGUGACUAACAGAUUUUAAGAAUCCUGUUAUCUCAGUUUCUCUCUCUCUCUCUCUGUUUUCGUAGCCACAGCAUUUAGCAGCAUCCUAAUGCCUGUAAUCUGGAAUAAAGCACAGGGAUUUCUGCCGUCCUUUCUGGGCCAAGAUACUUUCUCCUCAGUUUUCCCAUUCCCACAAACAGUGAUCUGUUUGUACGUGAACCAAGGAACAUCCCCAUAGAGAAUGUAACCCAGCCAUUCAAGAAGCAGGAGCAGGCCCCAGUUCUUUGCUAUCUCACCCCUAGCCUACCAUAUUGUUUCUGCCUGCAUCCAUUUUCAGCGUGUCUUUGAAUUGGAUGAGUCACAUUCACGCUUUCAUUUCGAUGGUAUUUUCUUUUGAAUUUACUGUUCUUCUUGCCCCGAGUACCUCUAGUAAGCACGAUGCUUAACACUAUCAACUCAGUAAUAGAACACACAGUCCCUUGUGCCCUAAAUGUGAUGUCUGGACUGUGUGCUUGGAGAG
ensembl:lncRNA